CCUUAACCAAAUACGUGCUCUUCCAUCUUCCCGGAGAACUUGUCAAUCAUCGACUAAAGUGUGACAAAGAAGAAUGUAAACAAAACUGAAGAAGCUACUUUCCAACAUAAAGCUGGGUUUUCAAGGAACGUUUGGAUAAUUAUUAUUUUAGAUCGCUCUAAACUAUGAAAUUAAUUGACCAUAUGUAUACAUUUUAAUCAUUCUGUGUAAUGCUAUGCAUCACCGAUUUUGGAUAUGCUGUAUACACAAAUAGAUACUUCUGGAUGCUCUAAAUAAUCAUUUACCUGGGAGAACAAUAAACAGUUACAGUAACAAACUAUUUAUGAGCAAAUAAUAAAAAUUACCUUCAUCCAUCUG